CGCAAGCCUGAUGCAGCAACGCCGUGUGAGUGAAGAAGGUUUUCGGAUCGUAAAACUCUGUCCUAAGGGAAGAAACAAAUGACGGUACCUUAGGAGGAAGCCCCGGCUAACUACGUGCCAGCAGCCGCGGUAAUACGUAGGGGCAAGCGUUAUCCGGAAUCACUGGGCGUAAAGGGUGCGUAGGCGGCUUAGCAAGCCAGGGGUGAAAGGCAUUGGCUCAACCAAUGUAAGACCUUUGGUAACUGUUAAGCUUGAGUGCAGGAGAGGUAAGUGGAAUUCCUAGUGUAGAGGUGAAAUUCGUAGAUAUUAGGAGGAACACCAGUGGCGAAGGCGACUUACUGGACUGUAACUGACGCUGAUGCACGAAAGCGUGGGUAGCGAACAGGAUUAGAUACCCUGGUAA
rnacentral:rRNA from 1 species